rnacentral:rRNA from 1 species
UACGUAGGUGGCGAGCGUUGUCCGGAUUUACUGGGCGUAAAGAGCGCGCAGGCGGUCGUGCAAGUCGCGUGUGAAAGCCCCCCGGCUCAACUGGGGAGGGUCACGCGAUACUGCUCGACUCGAAGGCAGGAGAGGGAAGUGGAAUUCCCGGUGUAGUGGUGAAAUGCGUAGAUAUCGGGAGGAACACCAGUGGCGAAGGCGACUUCCUGGCCUGUUCUUGACGCUGAGGCGCGAAAGCUAGGGUAGCAAACGGG